rnacentral:rRNA from 1 species
GAUUAACGCUAGCGGCAGGCCUAAUACAUGCAAGUUGAACGGCAGCACAGGUAGCAAUACUGGGUGGCGAGUGGCGCACGGGUGCGUAACACGUAUGCAGCCUACCCUAUACAGGCGAAUAACCUUUAGAAAUGAGGGCUAAUACGCCGUAGUAUUACAUAUGGGCAUCUAUUUGUAAUUAAAGAUUUAUCGGUAUAGGAUGGGCAUGCGUCCCAUUAGUUAGUUGGUAAGGUAACGGCUUACCAAGACGAUGAUGGGUAGGGGAUCUGAGAGGACUUACCCCCACACUGGUACUGAGACACGGACCAGACUCCUACGGGAGGCAGCAGUAAGGAAUAUUGGGCAAGGGCCGCGAGGCUGACCCGGCCAUGCCGCGUGCAGGAAGACGGCCUUAUGGAUUGUGAGCUGCUUUUAUACGGGAAGAAUAGAGUGUACGCGUACGUUUAUGCAAGUAUCGAAUGAAUAAGCAUCGGCUAACUCCGUG